rnacentral:snRNA from 1 species
GUGUUCACUUUGGCAGCACAUAUACUAAAAUUGGAAUGAUACAGAGAAGAUUAGCAUGGCCCCUGUGCAAAGAUAACAUGCAAAAUUUGUGAAGUGUUCCAUAUUUUU